GGAGCGUUCUGUAAGCCUGCGAAGGUGUGCUGUGAGGCAUGCUGGAGGUAUCAGAAGUGCGAAUGCUGACAUAAGUAACGAUAAAGCGGGUGAAAAGCCCGCUCGCCGGAAGACCAAGGGUUCCUGUCCAACGUUAAUCGGGGCAGGGUGAGUCGACCCCUAAGGCGAGGCCGAAAGGCGUAGUCGAUGGGAAACAGGUUAAUAUUCCUGUACUUGGUGUUACUGCGAAGGGGGGACGGAGAAGGCUAUGUUGGCCGGGCGACGGUUGUCCCGGUUUAAGCGUGUAGGCUGGUUUUCCAGGCAAAUCCGGAAAAUCAAGGCUGAGGCGUGAUGACGAGGCACUACGGUGCUGAAGCAACAAAUGCCCUGCUUCCAGGAAAAGCCUCUAAGCAUCAGGUAACAUCAAAUCGUACCCCAAACCGACACAGGUGGUCAGGUAGAGAAUACCAAGGCGCUUGAGAGAACUCGGGUGAAGGAACUAGGCAAAAUGGUGCCGUAACUUCGGGAGAAGGCACGCUGAUAUGUAGGUGAAGUCCCUUGCGGAUGGAGCUGAAAUCAGUCGAAGAUACCAGCUGGCUGCAACUGUUUAUUAAAAACACAGCACUGUGCAAACACGAAAGUGGACGUAUACGGUGUGACGCCUGCCCGGUGCCGGAAGGUUAAUUGAUGGGGUCAGCGCAAGCGAAGCUCUUGAUCGAAGCCCCGGUAAACGGCGGCCGUAACUAUAACGGUCCUAAGGUAGCGAAAUUCCUUGUCGGGUAAGUUCCGACCUGCACGAAUGGCGUAAUGAUGGCCAGGCUGUCUCCACCCGAGACUCAGUGAAAUUGAACUCGCUGUGAAGAUGCAGUGUACCCGCGGCAAGACGGAAAGACCCCGUGAACCUUUACUAUAGCUUGACACUGAACAUUGAGCCUUGAUGUGUAGGAUAGGUGGGAGGCUUUGAAGUGUGGACGCCAGUCUGCAUGGAGCCGGCCUUGAAAUACCACCCUUUAAUGUUUGAUGUUCUAACGUGGACCCGUGAUCCGGGUUGCGGACAGUGUCUGGUGGGUAGUUUGACUGGGGCGGUCUCCUCCUAAAGAGUAACGGAGGAGCACGAAGGUUGGCUAAUCCUGGUCGGACAUCAGGAGGUUAGUGCAAUGGCAUAAGCCAGCUUGACUGCGAGCGUGACGGCGCGAGCAGGUGCGAAAGCAGGUCAUAGUGAUCCGGUGGUUCUGAAUGGAAGGGCCAUCGCUCAACGGAUAAAAGGUACUCCGGGGAUAACAGGCUGAUACCGCCCAAGAGUUCAUAUCGACGGCGGUGUUUGGCACCUCGAUGUCGGCUCAUCACAUCCUGGGGCUGAAGUAGGUCCCAAGGGUAUGGCUGUUCGCCAUUUAAAGUGGUACGCGAGCUGGGUUUAGAACGUCGUGAGACAGUUCGGUCCCUAUCUGCCGUGGGCGCUGGAGAACUGAGGGGGGCUGCUCCUAGUACGAGAGGACCGG
rnacentral:rRNA from 1 species